GAUAACAAUUUCAGGUGCUUUUUCAAGCAUGUAGAAGUCAGCGUGGACACAGGAGGGCAUAGUCUUGGGCGCUGUGUAGAAGGUUAACUGACUUGGAAAUCUGUUUCCGAACUGUAGGAAUCAAAACGACUCUGAGUGUUCAUCUGUGAGGACAGGAUCAUGACCCACGGCAGAAAAACAGCCAAGUAGGUGUUUGCUCUUUCCAUUUGUCAUUGACUCACCUGUGGAUAUACAUCCAGCAUUCUGUGACUGCAGACACAGAACCCACAGUGGUAGCGGACUGGGGAGGGGAAGCUAAUCACAUCAGGUAGAAGAUGAUGCUUAACUUAGCAGCAGGAAAUUGCUUAACUGGAGUACCUUCUGAUGGCAAACUUAUUUCACAGACCUUUGUAGAGAAGGUUUUUCUUGCAAGCCAUUGACACCCAUUCUACACAAUUUGAUGCCCAUGAACAGACAGUGGCAACUACAUUAUGAGUGCUACCUGGCCAGUAGUGAUUAUGAUAUGCACCCAAUUUCAGACGUGCAAAAAGGAGAGAUGGAACUUACAAGGUCUUCUGGCCAAGGCAACUUGGACAUUGCAAUUUAGAGAAAGUUUGCCUGGCGCCAGAGUCAGAGCUCUUAACUGCGAGAUUUAAGGCUCUUCGCUCCAGGGAUCUCCUCAGAAGCUCAGCCUACUCCACUGCGAGGGAUGAAGCCCCUUAAUGAAACAAUUGGAGAUAAGGACCUGGGCUCCUCACACGCUGUCAGUAACUAUCUUUGAAGUUUAAAGGAGAAGCAUGAACCUUGUGAUCUCGGAGGAGCCGGUUCGCUUUGCAAUUUGAGCUGAUCAGUUCGAAGAAUAUAUCCGAGGCACCGAGGGAGGGGGAGUCUUGACCCAUUUCACAUUAUACACCCAACUUGAGUUUUAAGCAACUUCUGAGGCUUCAGCUAAGUCAAGAAACUUUUAGAGCUCCAGGACUCACAAAGUACAUGCGUAGUCCAGGAACAUUCAUCAUGUUAUCUUAUCUGAUAGUGACGUUUCCCCUUCUGUUCGCCAAAAUAAAAAAGUCAGUGCGUUUGGGUGAUGUGCCCUUGGCAUUGCAGUCUAAGGCAUCUCAGAGAAGUUCUCCUGGCCAAGUUGACAUGUGCUGUUGGAGUGUGAGAAGUCAGUUUUGUCUUUCAGCUCCCCAAAUUUCUAUCAACUGGAAGUGCAGCUGCUAUCUGAAAUCUGAAUUCUCAAUGUCCAUGGAGAUAAUGUGUCAACUUCUAAAAUUUAUAUUAGAGUUGCU